AGGCUAACUGAAGCAAGCACGAAAAGUUGAGCACAUUUGGGCUUAUGUGCAAAAUGGCAGAUCAAACCCUCUUCUCCAUUGUCGAGUGGGCCAGGAGUAGCAUCUUCUUCAGAGAACUGAAGGUUGAUGACCAAAUGAAGCUGCUUCAGAACUGCUGGAGUGAGCUCUUAAUCCUCGACCACAUUUACCGGCAAGUGGUACAUGGAAAGGAAGGAUCAAUCUUCCUGGUUACUGGGCAACAAGUGGACUAUUCCAUAAUAGCAUCACAAGCUGGGGCCACUCUCAACAAUCUUAUGAGUCACGCACAGGAGUUAGUGGUGAAACUUCACUCUCUACAGUUUGAUCAGCGAGAGUUUGUGUGUCUGAAAUUCCUGGUGCUCUUUAGUUUAGAUGUCAAAAACCUUGAGAACUUCCAGCUGGUAGAAGGUGUCCAAGAACAAGUUAACGCCGCCCUGCUGGACUACACCAUGUGCAACUACCCACAGCAAACGGAGAAAUUUGGGCAGCUACUUCUUCGACUACCCGAAAUCCGGGCCAUCAGCAUGCAGGCUGAAGAAUACCUCUACUACAAGCACCUGAACGGCGAUGUGCCCUAUAAUAACCUUCUCAUUGAAAUGUUGCAUGCAAAAAGAGCGUAGGUUACAACCCCUGGGAGCUCGGCUUUCAAAACAAAAAGAGAUUUGGGGGGGAGGGGGAGAGGGAAGAAAAACAGGAAGAAAAAAAAAAAAUACUCUGAACUGCUCCAAGGAACACUAAUUAAAAACUUGGUCUAAAGAUAUUGAAUUUAGAAAGGCAUAAUCAAAUACUUAAUAGCAAAUAAAUGAUGUAUCAGGGUAUUUGUAUUGCAAACUGUGAAUCAAAGGCUUCACAUCCCCAAAGGAUUCUGUAUAAAAGACAUCGUAAUGGAGUGGAUUGAACCCACAGAUGGAUACCAACACUAUAUCAGAAGAAACCUGGACAGAACAUUUCUUGUAUAUUUAAACUGAUCUCCGCUAUGAAGAAAUUUAGGAACCAAUCUGUGUUAUUAGUUAGGCUUACACAGUGGAGGAUUCGAACUUAACAGAAUUCCUCCAUGGUAAAGCUGAACUGAAACGUUCUCAAGAAUGCAUCAGCUGUACCUACAAUAGCCCUUUCCUCUUCCUUUGAAGGGCCCAGUACCUUCUGCCCUGGGAUCACAGAAUCUGAACUAAGGACCUGUGUUCAGCCACACUCAGUAGUAGCUCCACCAAAUCAUGAAAAGCCUAAUUUUGAAUGUCUGUGUCCUAGACCUGCAAACAGCUAAUAAGAACAGUCUAUUAAUAUGUUAGCUCACCAUUUUAAAUAUGUUCUGAAGUUUGUUUUGUCAUGCGUUCAUGAUGUUAAAAAGAAAAGCAGGCAGUAUCCCUCUUCUAUCUUAUGCAGACAUUAAUUAAUAUUAAGGGAAAUGACUACAAACUUUUAAAGCAAGUGCUUGAUAGCUUAACCAAGUUAAACCUAAUUUCUGCUACUGUUGCUGAAAUGUGGCUUUAGCAUUGUUGGGUUUCAUAAAAAUUUCUGGCCAAUAUGCCUAUUAGGAAACAUUUGUCUUUUUAGUCAUUACAGUUUGUGGUUCAUUUCAAAAUAAAACAUUAAACAUAUUUUGCUGGGGUGUCAAAUGUAAUUGAAAACAAAAUUGAAGCAUGUUAAGCUACGCAAAAAGAAAAGCAAAAAUGAGCUGAUAAAUUGAUCGACUCAAGGUGCGUUCUUAUUGCAAUUGAAUGUCCCCUACCUAAACUUGGGAUGGAAACGGUGAUUUUUCAAUAUGGCCUGGAAAGACACUAAAGUAAUUCAGUCUUCCCCAAAGGGGAAAGGAAGAGAGUGAUACAGACCUUUUUGAGUCGUAGACCAAAGUCGGCUGUAGAACAAAUAAUGGAAAAAAGAGAAUUGCUAACUCUCCAAAUGACACUAUCAGUAUUAUUGACAUGUGACAUCACAGAUAUGAGAGUCUUGCCUUAUUUCCCAAUUCUAAAAGGUAGCUGUGCAGAUGUAGAUCAACAGUUGUUUAAAAUAAAGUAUUAAUACUUUAAAGUCAAA